GACUCCCACGGCGGAUGGCUGGGUCGAGAGCACAUCUUUAUUUUCUCUCUAGAUCAUUCUUCUUCCUAUUUUGAUUUGAGAAAGGGAACGUGAGAAUUAGGGCAACCAGAGUGUUUUCCCAGUAAGUGUUGAGGCAGGCGUUUGCAAGGAGCAGUAUUGGAAGCGUUUCCGGAGUUUUCCAGUGUGUUCGGGUUUCACCUGCAUGUCAGGGUUCGUCACCGUCACAGGAACCCUGGGUCAUUUUGCCAACUCAGUAGAACGGGGCUAAAAUAAGCACUGAGAACUGAACUUAGAACAGAAGAGCACUCUAAAUAGAGAGAAGAGAGGAGAUUGUUGAGGCAGAUGGAAAGCAUCACAAGAGAAGUGUGUGGCCCUCGCCUGUGGAGGUGAAGCUCCAGCAAGGCUCCAUCUUGAGUUUUUUUAAAUUUUGAGUAGUA
rnacentral:misc_RNA from 1 species